GAUGAACGCUGGCGGCGUGCCUAAUACAUGCAAGUCGAGCGAACAGACGCGGCGUUUGCGCCUCUGACGUUAGCGGCGGACGUGUGAGUAACACGUGGAUAACCCACCUAUAAGACGGGGAUAACCUCGGGAAACCGGAGCUAACAGCGUAUAAUAUAUUGCACCGCAUGGUUCAAUAGUGAAAUACGGCUUUGCGGUCUCUUAUAGAUGCAUCCGCGCCGCAUUAGCUAGUUGUUACGGUAACGGCUUACCAAGGCAACCAUGCGUAGCCGACCUGAGGGGGUGAUAGGCCACCCUGGAACUGGAACGGGGACAAGAGUACUGAGGGAGGCAGCAGAAGGGAAUGUUACGCAAUGGGCGAAAGUCUGACAGAGCAAGGCCAAGUCAGUGGUGGAGGUGUUCGGAGCGUAAAAAUCGGUUAUGAGGGAAGAACAGAUGUGGAAGUAAAUGAGGCCGUAUUGACGGUACCGGAUCAGAAAGCAACGGCUAACUACGUG
rnacentral:rRNA from 1 species